rnacentral:lncRNA from 1 species
CAAUUGAGGCCACCAAUCCUCCUGUCCUGUGGGCCACCAUGGGGGUGAAACACCUUUCUCCAAUGGAAAUCUUCUCUGAGGAGGAUCACAGUGCUGCAUCAAAGCUGAUAAUAACGAACCAAGGGUGGUAUCUUGCAGCUCCUGCAAGGUGUGAGGGGUAGGACCAACCGGAUUAGAUCCCUCGUUCAUGCCAGGGAUGGGAUGAUCAGCUUGAUAUUUGGCUAUUGCUGCAGGACCAUUUCGAUCGAACCUCACUUUAUCCUUCCACCACUCCCUAAGAUUAUCAGAUGCCCCACUAACUGGCUUGCCUUUUUCUGGAAUGAUCCCAUAAACAAAACCCUGAGCUUUACAUACUUCCAUCAUUUUCAACAUGUACUUCAAGAUCCCAUCUUGGGCCCUUGACAUCUUCUUCCUCCUCGCCUGCUCCUGUGACUGACGUUGUUUGGCAGGAUCGACACCUUCCUUACUUUUACUCAUUUCUUUCAGCCUUUUCAACUUCAUCUUAUCCCUCCACAUUCUCCUCUCCAGCUCAUCCAUAUCAAUCUCCUCAUCACUAUAAUCAUCAUCCACCACAGAUUCUGGCUCAGUCUGACUCUGUGGAGCAACCACUUCCACUUCCUUAAGUGGAGCAGGGAAGAAAUCAAGAUCCCCACAGAACCCCAUGUCCUCAAACAUCAUCAUCUUAACAAAGAUGAGUAACCACUCAAAAAAGGUGAAGCUACUUGCAAGUUCCACAAGAUACAAGCAGGAUUAAACAGCUAGUACCCAAAAUCCAAUAUUCAGAUCAGAAUCUAUUGAAAAUUGAUCAAAUUACAUUACCCUGCAAAUACAUUUACAACGAAAAUUAAACAUUUCCAGAACUGAAAUCAUACAAAAUAAUACCAAACAAGUAAAUACCACUACAAAUAUAUUGAUUUCAAGGACACCAAUCAUCAAAAGAAGCAAAAACUUGCACAUAUGAGAGACAGAUAGAGCCAAGAUUGUCACAGAUGCUACAUAUGAGAGACAGAUAGAUCCAAGAUUGUCACAGAAAAUGCAAGCAUCCCCCAUUUUCUCGGAAGCUCAACAGAAAAAAUUGAACAAAUUAACCCCAAACCCAAUUUUUCUCUGUUUUCAUCAGUACAACAGAGAAAAAUCCAAUCUUGAAGCAAAAGCUCAAAUAUUUGCACAAGUCCUCAGGACCAAAGAUCAAACGCAAUUAUAUUGAAGAAGAAAACAACAGAAGACACCCCAGAUGAAAAACUAACAGCAAAACACAAUAAAGAUCUCAGCUUUACCACAGGAAAACAAAUAUUUUCAAGAAAUAGUUGUACAGUGGAAGAAGAAAACCUCAAAAAGAUCACUUUUUCAUAAAGAUCACUUUUUUCUUCUUCUUCCAAAACUCUGGUUAGAGAAUAAUAAUAAUUGACGACCCCUUUCGACUAUAAGAUGGAAAGAGAGAAGAACAAGAAGGUGGAGGAAGUUAUUGUAGUACUAAUAAUACAAUUUUAAUAAUGGUGUUUGUACUAUUCUUGAUGCUGGAAAAUGUAUUGGGAGAUGAAAAUUGUCGGCUCUUCGAUAAAAGCCAAACCAAUAAACUUUUUUCUUUGGUUUCUUUUGCUCUUUAUUUAUAUAUUAUUUACUUUAUUCUUUUUUAGAUUUUUCAUCUAUCUUCUUGGAUGGAUGAAAGAGGGGAGGGAAUUUGUUUUUUCGACUUUUAAUACUUUUUCCGUUCAUUUUUUAAUUAUAAUUAUUUUAUUUAAUGAGGUUAAAUUAUAUAAAGUCUAACUAACAUUUUAAGAAUUAAUAUUAAAAAGAUUAUAACUUAUAAUAUUUUUCAUAUAAUUUUCAAUCAUUUAAAUUUUAAAUAUUAAAUUUAUCUAUUUUAAUUUAAUUCUAAAGUUUAAUCAAGUUGAAUUGAAAAAGCGAAACACAAAUAAGUAAAAGUCAACAACGAAAUUAUUUGAUAGUUGAUUUAGACAUAAAUUACAUAAAUAUUAAAUUCCUAAUAAUACAUAUAUGAGUUAUGAGGAAUUUAUAUUUUUCUUUUUUAUAAAAUAUUAAUACAUGCAUAAAAUGAUAUAAAAUUUUACUAAUAACUAAUAACUAAUUUUCGCAUUAUUACUAAUACGUAAUCACUCUAAAAAGUUAUCAAACGAUCCCAAAGUUUUUUUACUGAUUUUAUUGAUUUGUAUUUUGUGUUAAUUAUUUACUCAUAAAAAUUUACCUGCACUAUGUAUUAAAUAUAAUAAUUCAUUUUAAAUUAUUGUGACAAUUUAUAGCAUUAAUUAUAACUAAAUAACAAGAGCGAAUCUAGAAUACACGUUAUAUAUUUGUAUUAUUAAUUAUAAUGUAAACUUUGCGUAUGAAUAAGUUGUUUCAUCAAGAGAACAUGAAUAUGUAUAUCAUGUAUUUAUUGAGUUGUAUAAUCAGGUGUGGGUAAAUUUUUUCUAUAUCCUGUUUAUUAUGUAUCAUUUAUUAUGGAAAAAACCAUCUCUUUAUUAUUAAUUUUAACUAAACUACAAUUAAAGUCAUUGUUAGCUAUUAAUUGUAGGGUGAAUAAUUAUAUUUAUUUAUUUUAUAAAAAUAAGUCUAACUUUUGUAAUUAAUGUUUCUCAUGCACUCCCUCUAUUCCAUAUCAAGCGAAUUUAUGAGACAAUGCACGCCUUUAAUAAAAAUAUUUAAUCACAUAGAUUAAACUGUAUUUUUUAUUACUGUCCUUUUGAUUAUUCUCAAGUAGUGUAUUUAUCUCUUAGAAAAUAUAAAUUCUUUUAAAAAAAUCAAGCAUUUAUGUUAAACUUUAAAUAAUUUAAUUAUUUUAAUUCCACUUAUGGAAUAGAAGUAGUUAAUACAUCAAAUUAAAUGUGAUUUGGAUUGUCAUGUUGGGUGGUAGUGGGGUUUAGAACUUUAAAGUGUAGGUCUGCCGUAAGGUGGAGGAAAUGAAUGGAAAAUGAUAAUGAAUCCAUUAUCCAAUUAAGCCCCAACACACCUUGAUAUGUGAAGGAUAUUACCAAAAUGUUGGGAGGGAAAAAAUAAUAUGCUCCAUAUUAAAAAGUUUUCUAUUUAAUUAAGUAAUACUCUCUCUAUAUAUAUUUUUUCAAUUUAUUUUGAUAGUUUUAGCGAUGAAAUUGCUUGAUUUAAUAUUGAUGUAUUUUAGGAGGUAUAGAAUAAAACAUUCAGUAGGAUAUGAUGUGUUUUUUCUAUAUGAAAUAAUCUGUUAUUCUAUUUAAGUUGCGUGGACUUUUCACUUUCAAUGUAUGCUCGUGUCGAAUUUUUUCAAAAAUAUAUGAUUUUUAAAAAAUUUAACAUGCAUUCGGUAACGCUUUUGAAGAGUGUGCAACAUCGUAUUGUAUGACAUUUGUUUGUGUUUUUGUCUGUGUAUUUUGGGUGAGAAGUUUUGUAGGGAAGCCCUAUGGGUCGAUGAGCUUUUCUUUUCAAGGGAGAAUGCAUUGAAUUAAUUAUAAGUUUGUGAGGAUAUGAUGGGGAAAGGAAUGAGUUAUUUUGUCUUUUUUUUCUUAUCUGUCAUAUUUUAGUUAUCAUAAUUUUUAUUUUUAAAAUUAAAAUAUAUAAAUUUUGACUAACAUUUUAAUAUAUAUAUAUUUUUUUGUUAUAUUAAUAUAAAAAAGCUCCAAUCAAGAAUACUUUUUAUAUAAUUUAUUUUAAUAAAUUAAUUUAAUCAAAUCCAAUUUCAACAUUCACCGAACUAAUUCGAAAAGCAUGACAUGACAAUUAAAAUGGGACAGAGAGUAUAUGAGUUUUGGCAAUUACCUUUCUAGGGUUUCUUACCCUCUUGAGUUCUUUGGAUUUUUGUGCUUUGCAAGAUAGUUACACUUAACCAAAUAUGUGAAAGAGCAUUUAUGGCUAGUGAUUUUGUAAAGUAAUUAAGAAAAAGAUUGACUUAUGUCCAUGAGUUGAGAAGGGGGAUGUUUUUGCCAAAAGUUUGUAAAGAACCAAAUAGGAAAAGCAAAAAAUGUUUCUAAUAUCUAAAAAAAAGAUAGAAAAACGUGGAAAGAAAGGAUGAAAUAACAUGGAAAAAGUUAGAAAGUGGAUAAGGGCCGUUUGAUAGUGACAAGUAAAUAAUCAAUUUAUAUGGAGGGACACCACUUUAGUGGCCAAUUAUUUAUUGUCCUUACAAGACUUCCCAAUAGUAAAAUUUCAUGUUUUUCUUACAUUCAAUAUUAGAAGUAUAUAUACCCUUCUCUUUUUGUCUAUUAACAAAAUUAUACUCCCUAUGUUUCAGUUUAUAUGAUAUUUUUUAUUUGACAUGAUAUUUAAAAAAAAAGAUAGAUUUUUAAAAUUUAUGGUCUCAAAUUAUUCUUAGAUAUUUGUGUGGCUGCGAAUCAUGUCAUCAAAGGUAAAAAGAAAAUUUUAAAGAUAAAAUUGUUUCCAAUUAAAGUAAAGUGGCAUUCUUUUUUGGACAGACAAAAAAGAAAAGUGCGCCACAUAGAAUAGGGCAGAGGGAGUAAAUAAGAAACACAGUUUUACUAAAUCAUACUUUCAGUUUUUUAAAAAUAAAAAUUUAUUAAACUGUUAAAAAAAUUAAUCAUAAAAGUUAAAUGAAAAAAUAUAAUUAAUUAUAUAAAUUGAAAAAUAAUUUGAGAUGAUUAUUUUUACUGAUGUAGAGUGUGGACUGUGGUCAAAAAAAGAUUAAGAAUUUAAAUUUUAAUUGUUAUUUAUCUGAUAAAUCAAUCAGAAUUGGGUCCUUUUUUUAAAAAAAAUAUUUUCUUUGCAUAAUCUUCUCGUUUUAACAACUUUCAUGAAUGUAAGAGUUCUAAAUAAUUAGAAAAAGAAAAAUUAUUUGUUGUGUUUGAUUUAAAAAAAAGAGUUACUAUAUGAGUUAACUAGGACUAUAAACUGCUCAAGUUCAAUUUUAUUUCUCGAUUUUAGUAUUACAUAUUGUUUUCUUUACCCAUAGUUAUCGUAUUAUUUGUUGAUUACUACUUAUUCUAUUUUCGACAUAACUUCUUCACUAUUUUAUUUUCGAUAUCUGCAUUAUACACUCCUCAAAUUUAUCUUUGCUUUUUAAAUUACAGAAAGUAUUAGGUUAGUCUCUACAAGACAAGAGCAGAUACAGAUUUACGGCUGUCAGAACUUAAUUUCUACUUGCCCUUUUUCUUUUUAAUUAAGAUUCUUGUACAAUAGAAAAAAAAAAAAAAAACUUUCCCCAGGACAACUGCAGAUAAACUAAAUAACUGAACAGCCACUUAAUCUUAAAAUAUCAGAACAAACGAUCUUCUUAAUUUUUAAUAUUUUUCAAUAAUUUAAGCUAUAACCACUCACUUUUCGCCACGUAGAAGAUUAAAAAAAUUCUAUGACAGAUCAUCAUCAAAACUGCUAGAGAACAAACUAAUUAAAAAAUUCAUUUUUUCUAGUAAGGAAUUUGGAUAAGCCACAACAUAAGUUGUCUAGUGUUUUUGGGACAGUUCUUAAUGCAUAGUUGUAUGUACAUUGCAUUUGCCUUUGGCUUUAAAUUUUUUAUUUUUAUUUUUUUUAAAUUAUCUGCUCUGUUUAUGUAGUUUCUGUAUUGAGUCUGUUAAAGAAAAUGACCAGAUGCAUGUACCCAAAGAUUGCUUCAUGUUAUAGAUAUUUUUUGUUUAAUUGUUUGGGGAUUAGUAUUUAAACAAAAAUUUAAUGGUCAAUUAUUGUUGAUCUUACUUAUUAAAUGAAAACAUAGUUCAGUAAAGUAGAAUCAAUCACAAGAAAAUUGAAUGUGAAGGAGUCAGCCAAUACUAUGUGUUGCUUCUUAAGAUAGAAAUGAAACAAUAAAAGUAAUUGUGAUCUGCUCAUUCACAUGAUCUCUCUCAUAUUACUUUUCAUUUAUUCACUUAUUAUAUUUUACUUGAUGGUAGUCAGACGACUAUUCUACUGGACACUUGUUAUCUCCCACUAGCACCUUGAUGACUAUUCUAUUGAACACUUGUUAUCUUCCACUAGCACAAUAUCAAAUAAUUCUACCCUAUGUUGCUCAGACUUUUCAAAAGUGCCCGCGGGUGCGUGUCGAAUUCCAAAAGUAUAUUUUCGAAAAAUCCAACACGGAUGCAACAUUGACAAGUGAAGAUGAACUUUAAGACAUACAUAUCCACAAGCCUAGAGAAACAAGAUUAAAGCAAAGCACAUACUCAAUAAUAAAGUCAUGUUGUUGCAUAUAAAAUCAAACAGUUCAUUUCAUAAAAGCAACAAUGUUACAUUAAGCUAUGCUACAAAGGGCAGCAAUCACAAAGAUGAAACAACCUUUAAAACUGUAUGGAAAAAGAAAGACUUUUGCCUGCCUAUGAAUUCAGCAGUUCAUACUGCCCAUGCUGAAAGAAGCGACAAGCUUUUGAUCAACACUAACGUGCAGACGAUCAAAGAGACUUAAAGAGAGAGAGCGAGAGCAAAAUAAGUGAAGCUUAGAUUAAAACAAAAUCGUAACACAUAUAGCACGACGAUAGUCUUGACUUAUUUAUCAGAUAUCUAUACAUUCUUGAGCAGCAUUGGCUAAUUCUUGAGGGUAUCUCUUCCUCCUCCGCUGUUACACUAUGCCGCAUAGCUUUCAACCUUCAACAACAUAUGGUAACUGGAAAUAUCAUAACUAAGAGAGUUGUAAGCGAUUAAAAAUCCACCUGAUAAUGAAGACCGAUUAUAAUGGAAUCUGCCAAUCUCGGGGAACAAGCUAUAUAUGUUUCACCAAUCUCUUGGCUAGUACCAAAUUGGAAUAUCUUGCUUUGGUGUGGUAUCACAUCCAAUGCCAGGCAGACUUCCAUUGUAAUUGGUGGACUGUAAGUUGAACGGAAGCCCAUACAUGAAAUGCAAAUUGUCAUUUGAAUUUAGGAUCUUAGACUGAUCAACAAGAUUGCCUUGUGGGUGCAUAGACUGACUUGCGGAAACAUUAACGUCUUUGAAGAUGCCCCCCUCCAUCAUUCCUCGACUGUGUAGGUAAUUGAACUGGUCAACACGAGGUUGCUCACGAGGCUGCUCAUUGGUCACUGCAACAUUCCCUGUAUUUUGGCUUUUGUUUCCUUGUAUAUUACAAUCAUAGAAUGACAUAAGGUCAUCAAUCGUCCUUUGCCCAUCUUCAGGAACUCCUACUCCAAAUAGAUCAAAGGGAGGUGGACUUGGAUUAACAGGCAGAGCAGCUGAACUUGAGGGGACAUAUUGUUGAGGGAAGACAAUUGGCUUGACUUCAUUAACGUGAAAGUUUGAAACUCCAAACUGAGAAGUACUUCUGAAAGGGCAAGCUAACUGAUGAUUGUCUCUGGCAGAUCUGUCCUGAAAACCGUGACGAAUUUCACUAUAAGGACAUUGAAGAUACUCGCACGUAUAGAUCUUUUGAGCCAUGGUAACAGUCUGUUCAUCGGAUUGCUUCCUCUUCCGAGUGAAAUCUAAGCUGGUGAUCAUUUCAUCCUUGAUUGGAUGAGACUGUUGUUGAAGAGGCAGCCUCUCAUUGAAUCUCUCAACACUGACAUUGAACAAAUUGAGAUGGUGAGGUUUUUGCUCUUGAUAGUCAACGUUACACUCAUCUUGAGCAGCAUCAACAUCAUACUCACUGCUGUCAUCCACAGUGAAAUUUCCACUACCACCAGCAGACGGCAAAGGUGGACAGCGAUCAGGGUAUAGUUCUCGAGCCAAAGCUUCCUCCUGAUUGAUGAUAGCAAGCCAAGUCGCACUUUCUUUUGCUGUCAUCUUAUCCUGCAAGCACUUUGACUGCCUUACAAGCUUGCGGAUUUUAGCAAUAUCAGGGGAAAUGUGCUUGAUCACUGCUGUUAGGACACCAACCUUCCACGCCUUCUUCAGAUCAUGAGGCUUUUUAUAAGGUGGAGGACCUUGGUCCUUCUGCAAACCCAAUUGAGGCCACCAAUCCUCCUGUCCUGUGGGCCACCAUGGGGGUGAAGCACCUUUCUCCAAUGGAAAUCUUCUCUGAGGAGGAUCACAGUGCUGCAUCAAAGCUGAUAAUAAUGAACCAAGGGUGGUAUCUUGCAGCUCCUGCAAGGUGUGAGGAGUUGGACCAACUGGAUUUGAUACCUCAUUCUUGCCUGGGAUGGAAUGCUCAGC